CACCGGCGGCCCGAGUGGUGAUCGUGAUUAUUGGGUCUAAAGGGUCCGUAGCCGGUUUGGUCAGUCCUCCGGGAAAUCUGACGGCUUAACCGUUAGGCUUUCGGGGGAUACUGCCAGGCUUGGAACCGGGAGAGGUAAGAGGUACUACAGGGGUAGGAGUGAAAUCUUGUAAUCCCUGUGGGACCACCUGUGGCGAAGGCGUCUUACCAGAACGGGUUCGACGGUGAGGGACGAAAGCUGGGGGCACGAA
rnacentral:rRNA from 2 species